rnacentral:rRNA from 1 species
UACGAAGGGGGCUAGCGUUGCUCGGAAUCACUGGGCGUAAAGGGUGCGUAGGCGGGUCUUUAAGUCAGGGGUGAAAUCCUGGAGCUCAACUCCAGAACUGCCUUUGAUACUGAAGAUCUUGAGUUCGGGAGAGGUGAGUGGAACUGCGAGUGUAGAGGUGAAAUUCGUAGAUAUUCGGAAGAACACCAGUGGCGAAGGCGACUCACUGGCCCGUUACUGACGCUGAGGCGCGAAAACGUGGGGAGCAAACAGG